rnacentral:lncRNA from 1 species
GUAGGAUCGCUUAGCCAGGCUUCAUAAUUGGAAAAACGAGCACCGUGGAAAUACAUUCCGCUCAGCCAAAGAAAAAUGAUGGAGAGUUGUCCGAAAUGGGCACUAAAUACUUUUCGAGAGAUCUCCUCCAAAUCACUGGUAUGGCUAUCGAAGUCGUGAGCAUCAGCAUGUAGGUUCCAGAUCCAAGUGGUAGUCUCAGGUCCCUUAGCUAUGGUUCUUGAGAAAUGCCCCGGUUUGGCCCAUUCCUCGAAAGAAGUUUUUACGGGAUCCCUAUCUACCAAAAUUUUUACUUCUGGUUCCGGCGAACGAAUAAUCAUUGAGUCCUCCUCUUUCCGGACAACACAUACAAAGAAACCCGCCAACAGUCAGUCCAGUGAUUAGUGAACCUAUGAGAGAUGCUUAGAAUUAGUUUCUUUCUCUUCUACUUCUAUCUCCCAUCUAUUUAUUUUCUUUAGUUAUUCACUAGAGCAAUUAUGUCUGGAAGUCGAUCCAGGGCAAGUGUUCGGAUCUAUUAUGACAUAUCCAGGAGGCGCUCAACGGACCUUUUGAAUCUUUUUUAAUCUUAUAAAACCCUUUACGGGCUUAAAAUUUGUCAAAAACCCUUUUUUUGUACAACCUUAGUGUAUUCAUAUCUCAAUUAGAAGUCCCGAAAUGCAGCUGCUACUUUAAUGGCGUAUAUAGAACAUAUUACUUUAUUCCAAGCAGUCAUUAGUAAUUACUAGGAUAAGAGACAUUCCUGCGAGGGGUCUCUUUUAUUAAUUUGAAUAGAAUAGGAGAAAAAUACAUUUUCUACCGUAUCCCUGUAUCGUUUAUCCUUAUGAAAUACCAGACGAAAUAGAACGAUCUUAGAAAGGAUAUAAUGAAAUUCCUUGAUUGUUUCUUACCAGAUAAAUGAUCCCUUUUAUAUUCCACUGAUAGGGCUAACAGACAAUUAAUUUUUAAUUAUACCAAACGAAAAUAGAUAUCGAAAUUCUAAAGAAAUAAAAUUCUAAAUAAAUAAACAGAGAGUUUCUUAUUCGAAACGUCCCGUGAUCUUCAACCAAUUCUGCGCUUGAAUAUAAUUACCAGGAGUAAGCGCAAUAGCUUGUUUCCAAUACUCGGCAGCUUGAUUGAACCAAGCCUCCGCAAUUUCAGAAUCUCCCUGUCGAACGGCCUGUUCCCCCCGGUCGGAAUAGGUGGUUCAAUUCCUUUCCUUAGAACCGUACUUGAGAGUUUCCCGCCUCAUACGGCUCGGCAAUCAAUUCUUUUGGUGUCCCGGGUUUUUGAAUCUAGUAUAUCGAAUUGAAUGAGAUUUCUCAUAGAUCGAUCUUUAUCUUUAUUCUUUUUUUUGGGGGGUUAACCAAAAGAGGUUAAUUCCAUGAGCAUGAGUUUCAAACUUGACUUUUGAUUAAAUUAAUAAUCAGCUUUGCUUUCAUUUUAUCUUUUCUCCCACCGUCAGAAGAAUAACAUAGAAGCAUUUCCACUAUAGUUAGAAUUUUCUGAAAGGUAUCUAUCUCGGUUUCAUAUAAAAAUUGAUAUAGAAUCUUUGAAAAAGCCCUUUCUUCCUAAGAAAGAAAAGGCUUACUGUCUUUGGGAUCUGAUGCUACACCGCUGCUCAAUACCUUAGGGGAUCGACUUUAUUACAUAAGUGGAUUCCUUACUUUUAUCUCAUAUCAUGACAUAAAUAAGCAGUUCUUAUUGGAUCGGCAUCGGCCCAAAACCUCGCGAAUUGAUCUUUACGGUGCUUCCUCUAUCAAUUAGAUCCUUUAUCCAUAGAAUAAACUAUCUAGGCAUAUCGAUUUCUUCAUAUUUCGACUUCUAUGAAGUUUCUUUCUUUGCUACAGCUGAUAAAAAUCGUUUUUGCACGAUGCAUAUGUAGAAAGCCUAUUUUUUUUUUUUCGAGUAUUUAUUAGUGUAUUUGCUCUUUACCCCCCCUCCUUUUUUUUUUUCUUUUACUUUUUUCUUUCUAUAGUAGAGAUAGUCGCACGUAAUGACAGAUCACAGCCAUAUUAUUAAAAGCUUGUGGUAAGAACGGAUUUCGUUCUAGUGCCCGAAAAUAAUAUUCUAAAGCUUUUGUAUGUUCUCCGUUACUUGUGUGGAUAAGGCCUAUGUUAUAGAGUAUAUAGCUUCGAUCGUAAGGAUCAAUUUCUAGUCGCAUAGCUUCAUAAUAAUUCUGUAAAGCUUCCGCAUAAUUGCCUUCAGAUUGAGCUGACAUCCGUUACGGUCGUCAUUCGAUUCAAAGAAUUCUCCGUUUCAAAACCGUACAUGAGAUGAAAAUCUCAUACGGCUCCUCCUUUAUGUGCAUUAUGAGAAUAAUCCAUGAAAUCAAAAAAGAUUGAAAUAUUCUCAUUAUGAACUAAGUGGGGCUAAUGUUUUUACAAGAAAUCUCUAGCCAACCUUCCUGCAAAAGCUUUUUUCUUAAUAUCACGCGUGUUGGUACUAGAUAAAACCGGAAACUCCAACAAUUUCUUUGUUCUCAACGCCCCUUAAUUUACAGGAAUUAAUCACUUCAACAGUCUUCGAUGGUUAUACGGGUAUCCACAGUACGAACGAGAUGGAUGUUUGUUAUCCCAACCAUUCUUCUUAGUCCCGAUCCCGCUAAGGAAAGGGGGCAGCUUAUAACAAAGUUUUCGUGUUGCUGAUUCCUAGACGUAGCGCCUCUUCCCCUAUGCCGCCUAUUGGUACUGGUGUAGUAGGGUUGACUUGCAAUACAGAACCCAUAGGUGUAACCUUUCGCUCAAUACUAGAAUCGACAAUUGAAGCAUCUGAGGCUGCAUUAAUCGGGGAUACACGACAGAAGGAAUGGUUUUAUCUAUAAACUUCACCUUCAACAAGCGUAGAUUUUUUCAAUAAUCUUUUUUUUUUUUUUUUCUAUCCCGAAUUGUCUUUCUUUCUUCUAAGACCGAAAGGGGUAAAUAAAAAACUAAUCAAAUCGCACCAUCUCUGUAAUAGGUAAAUGCCUCUUUUUCUCCUACAGUUGUCGGAAUUAUUCGUAAUAAUAUAUUGGCUACAAUCGAAAAGGUCUUAUCAAUAAAAUUUCCGUUUAUCCGCGAUCUAGGCAUAGGUAAAAAUCCAUUCUAUAAUUCGUUUCAUUACCUCUUGUGAGAAAAUGAUCCCACAAACAAAGGAAUUGUACAGUACAAAAUAACAUAAAAGCAGACGUGUUAAAAAAAAUAAAAAAAAAAAUAGACCGAUCCGUUGAUUCGUUCCAACUCAUUGAUUAAAUCAGGUAGAAAUAUCAGAAAAAAAAAAAAAAAGGAGCGCCAUCUUUGCAAACAAGAUAUAUAGCCUUAUUGUUUUUUGUUUUGAACAGUUUUUCACAAACAAAAAAGUUAUCCUUUUCCCCAGACUCAAAGGAAGAAUUUUUUCUUUGCUGAAAGGGUUUCUAUUUUUCUAGUUAGAACGGAUUCGAUUGUCCGUACCCAUCUACCAAUCGAAUUUGAACAACUCGCUAUUCACGCGGGUUCUCGGUCAUAAUCAUUGUGUAGGAGAGAUGGCCGAGUGGUUCAAGGCGUAGCAUUGGAACUGCUAUGUAGACUUUUGUUUACCGGGGGUUCGAAUCCCUCUCUUUCCGUACCUUGAACUAAUUCAUCAAUGUUACUGACCGGAAUGUAUCCAAGCAAAAAAGAAUGAAUACCGAAGCAGUCAGACCUUUUUUUGAGCUAGAUUCUCAAUUCCUACGGGAAAGAAAGGGAAGGGGCAGGCAGGGGAUAAAAAUCUACCCUCGGAUCUAUGAUACAUGAAUGGGAUAAAAAAAAACUCCACGGAUCAAACUCCUUACCUUGUAUCCCUUUCCUUAAGUUAGGUGAAAGGGUAAAUUUGUACGAGCCCGUUAUUUUAGUUAGGUUUAAGUUUGACGAGAAUAAUAUUCUACGACAAGCAAUUCAUUUAUUUUCAAACCGACCCAUUGACUAUCUAUUAUUUGAUUGACUAAUCCUUUAUAUUGGAAUGCGCGAAGAGUCAAAUGCUUUGGCAAUUCCUCAUGGUGGGAUGAAUCAAGAUAAUUUUGAACCAGAGAUCUAGAUUUUGGGUCAUCCCUUACUGUAAUAAUAUCUCGGGGUUUGCAACGAUAACUUGGUAUAUCGACUAUACGACCAUUAACUAAAAUAUGUCGAUGGUUAACCAAUUGGCGGGCUUGAGGAAUAGUUGAAGCCAUACCCAAUCGAAAAAGAAUGUUAUCCAAACGCAUUUCAAGUAAUUGUAGUAAAACCAGACCGGUUGACCCUUUGGCUUUUCUGGCGAUACGAACAUAUUUAAGUAAUUGUCGUUCUGUAAGACCAUAAUGAAAACGCAAUUUUUGUUUUUCUUCUAAACGAAUUCGAUAUUGAGAUUUUUUUACGGAGCGCAAUUGGUUUCUAAAAUCGCUUCCGGCUCUAGGCCUUUUACUCGUUAGUCCCGGCAAAGCCCCCAGACGGCGUAUUUUUUUGAAACGAGGCCCUCGGUAACGUGACAUAAAGACUCCUUAUUUUAUUGAAUUUCAUAAACCUAAAUUAAAACUGAGCUACAUGAUAAAUGAAGCAAAAUCCGCUGAAGUAUUGUACUACAAAGAAUACUAAGAUGAUUUGUAUCAAAUUCCAGACCCCUUUUUGUAUUGUAUACGCAUAUAGAAAUAUAAAUCAAAAGAGGGUUCCUUUUCUUGAUUUAUUCUGCCGAAAUCGAACUUCCUCCAACUUUUAUUCAUAAUUGGAAGCUCCUACAACAUACUGGAUCGAUGAUCCUUGGAAGAAGCCUUUUCAAUGUUCUUUUCUUUCAAAAAGACAUUAUCAAUCAUGUAAAAAAUCAAACAAAUAGAGAAAAGCCGGCUAUCGGAAUCGAACCGAUGACCAUCGCAUUACAAAUGCGAUGCUCUAACCUCUGAGCUAAGCGGGCUUAAAUAAGAGAAAUUGUACAUGCGUAGGGAUCCUAGGAUCUUAUCUAUUAACCUUUUAUUCUUAGCUAUUCAUAAAGAAUAAAAUAGAGAAUCGAAUUUCAAAUAAAUGUUGAAUACUAUAGAUAUAGAACAUAACGAUUAAUCUAACAAU